GCUGGGUGUGGUGGUACACACCUGGAGUACUUGGGAGGCUGAGGUGGGAGGGUGGCUUGAACUUGGGAGUUUAACAUUAGCCUGGGCAACAUAGCAAGACCCCAGCUCAA
rnacentral:sRNA from 1 species